rnacentral:rRNA from 1 species
GACGAACGCUGGCGGCGUGCUUAACACAUGCAAGUCGAACGGAAAGGCCCUGCUUUUGUGGGGUGCUCGAGUGGCGAACGGGUGAGUAACACGUGAGUAACCUGCCCUUGACUUUGGGAUAACUUCAGGAAACUGGGGCUAAUACCGGAUAGGAGCUCCUGCUGCAUGGUGGGGGUUGGAAAGUUUCGGCGGUUGGGGAUGGACUCGCGGCUUAUCAGCUUGUUGGUGGGGUAGUGGCUUACCAAGUCUUUGACGGGUAGCCGGCCUGAGAGGGUGACCGGCCACAUUGGGACUGAGAUACGGACCAGACUCCUACGGGAGGCAGCAGUGGGGAAUAUUGCACAAUGGGCGGAAGCCUGAUGCAGCAACGCCGCGUGCGGGAUGACGGCCUUCGGGUGGUAAACCGCUUUCGCCUGUGACGAAGCGUGAGUGACGGUAAUGGGUAAAGAAGCACCGGCUAACUACGUG